UGAGGAAUAUUGGUCAAUGGACGAGAGUCUGAACCAGCCAAGUAGCGUGCAGGAUGACGGCCCUAUGGGUUGUAAACUGCUUUUGUUUGGGAAUAAUCGACAUUACGUGUAAUGUUUUGCAUGUACCAUUCGAAUAAGGACCGGCUAAUUCCGUGCCAGCAGCCGCGGUAAUACGGAAGGUCCAGGCGUUAUCCGGAUUUAUUGGGCGUAAAGAGCUCGUAGGUGGUUCGUCGCGUCUGCCGUGAAAGCCAACAGCUUAACUGUUGGUCUGCGGUGGGUACGGGCGGGCUUGAGUGCGGUAGGGGUGACUGGAAUUCCUGGUGUAGCGGUGGAAUGCGCAGAUAUCAGGAGGAACACCGAUGGCGAAGGCAGGUCACUGGGCCGUUACUGACACUGAGGAGCGAAAGCGUGGGGAGCGAACAGG
rnacentral:rRNA from 1 species